rnacentral:rRNA from 1 species
AUUGAACGCUGGUGGCAUGCCUUACACAUGCAAGUCGAACGGCAGCGGGGGAGAAGCUUGCUUUUCCUGCCGGCGAGUGGCGAACGGGUGAGUAAUACAUCGGAACGUGCCCUGUAGUGGGGGAUAACUAGUCGAAAGAUUAGCUAAUACCGCAUACGACCUGAGGGUGAAAGUGGGGGACCGCAAGGCCUCAUGCUAUAGGAGCGGCCGAUGUCUGAUUAGCUAGUUGGUGGGGUAAAGGCCUACCAAGGCGACGAUCAGUAGCUGGUCUGAGAGGAUGAUCAGCCACACUGGGACUGAGACACGGCCCAGACUCCUACGGGAGGCAGCAGUGGGGAAUUUUGGACAAUGGGCGAAAGCCUGAUCCAGCAAUGCCGCGUGUGUGAAGAAGGCCUUCGGGUUGUAAAGCACUUUUGUCCGGAAAGAAAUGGCUCUGGUUAAUACCUGGGGUCGAUGACGGUACCGGAAGAAUAAGGACCGGCUAACUACGUGCCAGCCGCCGCAGUAA